CCGGCCAAAUUCCCUUUCCCCAACCACUCCCGCAAAGUAGCCAUGCGUGGUGGAGGCCGCCGCCGUCGCCAGCCCGAGAUGCCGCCCUCCAGUUGUAUCCAUGUCCGUCACCGUCUACACAACUACACAAGCACCACGCAGAGCACGCCGCCCCUCCCGCGUACCCGCCCAAUUUAGCCUCCUCCGGCGCCGACCCGGGUCGAUGGAACAUUGGAACCCUCGAACCGCACCGGCCGUCGCAGGCGUGGUAGGCGCGGAAUUCUCGAUACUGUUCAGGAUACAGGACUAGUAGGACCAAUUCUUCCUCUUGCUACUGUUCCGGACCGGACUCGAUCACUUCCGGAUCGGAGACUCACUGCAUUCGUUUGCGGGAGAGGGGUCCGACUCGCAUUCGCGCCGUGGCCGCGGAGGACAUCCUGGCGCAUUUCUUCCUCCCCCGCCAUGUCCCCCUGCCCGCCCUAGGCCACCUAGAGGGACAUCACAGUCAACAGUGGUGUAAGAGGCAGAUAUUGAUGAGCUCUCAAGAUUCAAGCAACUGUCGGUGGAUGAUUUACACCAUGAGGUCGAAUCAUCUGACAGUUCUGAUGAUGAUGACGAUGAAGGUCUUGGUGAUCCUUUUCUUUUGGAUGGUUUUGGGAAUCGAACAAAAUGGAGAUUGAGUGACCUAAACGCAGAAUUUGAUAACUAUUUAGAAGAGCAAGCAAAUAAACCAAAAGAAAAGAAACUCACAAAAGCAGAAAGGCUUAAGACUCACAGUGACCGUAUGGAACGAUACAUCAAAUCUGCUUUGCAAAAGUACAACAUCGAAGAAAAACUUUCUAAGGAUAUGUACUUCGAGUUUGAUGAAGUUCGAAGUCAGAGCUGGAUUGUUGAAGGAGAGUAAGACAAUCAGUUCUACUAUCAUUUUAAUUUUGCAGCUACACAAGAUAGGUCCAGAACCUGUAUCUUUUUUGCUGAAGUAACCCCAGAAGGAGAUGAGUUUCACAUUAUCUGCUGCAAGCUUUUAGGAGAUGAUGAUAAUGGACACUGCUAUGGUUGCAAAAAUGCACAUGCGGAGGGCUUGAGGCAUCCAGCAUGUGACAAUAUGUAUGUUGGAGGUCAUGAAAAUCGGAAGUUCCCUUUUAUGAUUGACAGCGAAAGUGAGGAUGACAGUGAUAGUAAUUGAGAGAUCAAUACAUACCUUUGAAGGGCAAUGAUUGCGGGAAAAAACAAUUUGAAAUCUGAACUUGUGUUGUUGGUGUGUAAUGCUUUAUUUGUUGAAUAUUUAAGUGUGACAAGAGGGUACGAGAAGACGCUCCAAGUCGUACUAGUUUAGCAUUCGGCAUGAACAUAUUUAGUACUCUCUCCGUCUCAUAUCAAGUGUCUCAAAUUUAUCAAAGCAUGGAUAUAUCUAUGUCUAGAAAGCGUUUAGAUACAUGUAAUAUUUCGAUAUUUAAUAUGGGACGGAGGGAGUAUGACAUGGAUGUCUUGUUUAGAGAAACUAUGUAACAAAAAAACUAUGUUGCUAGUACUUCGUACGAGUUUUAUUCGAUGA